rnacentral:lncRNA from 1 species
AAGACAGCCACCUCGCCAAGAUCGUGUCUCCCCUUUCUGAGGAAGCCCAGAGCUGAUGACUGGCCAUAUGGAUAUAAAACGCACAACCCCCUCAGGGGAACUCCGACUCGGGCAUCUCUGAAGGACUAUGGGGUCCAGUGCAGCACAGAGUGGGACAUUACUUUCUGCUGGGAAGACCCACUUCCCAAUCAAGGGAGCAUUUGGUCUGAGUCCUGAAGGGUGGUUGGUUAAGUGGCAAAUACGCAGAGCUGGAGAAUGAAGGAUUUUUUUUUUUAAUACUUUAAGUUCUAGGAUACACGCGCACAAUGUGCAGGCUCAGCUUUCUCAUCACUGAACUGGAGAUACAGGUAAUAGUAAUAUCUACCCCUGGAGGUAUUUUUAAAUACUUCCACAGUACCUGACACGUGGUAAGUUUUAACAAUGCUGAUGGAGGAAACAUUUGGAUGUUUCCAGCCAAAUUGGAGGAAUCAACGAGUCUUGUCUACUGAUUAGAUAUAGAGGUCGGAAGAUGGAGGAUGGAGGUGAAGCCAAGAUGGCUCUAGGUAUCUGGCCUGAGCAAGAGAACUGACAACAGUUGGUAUUUGGGUUUGACUUGAAGGCAACUGUGGGCCAUCUAGAUGGAGAGAGGUACAGUGGCAUCUUGGAAUUUCUAAAAUAAAAUACAUAUGUAAUAUCUUUUAAAAGUCACCUGCCUGGAAAUGGGGACAAAUCCUUUACUUGGUGAUUUAUGUACAUUUGAUUGUCACAUCCACCUCACAAAGCAGGUAUUAUUAUCAUGCCCAUUUUAUAGAAGAAAAACAGGUUCAGAGAAGGUAAGUAACAUUCCCAAAUGGUAGAGCUUGUGAGUCUCAGAGGCAGGAUUUGAACCCGGGCCUGUCUGACCGGAGACCCAUCCUCUUUAUUAUAGAGUGUUUCUCCUGUGUUGCCUGGAAGUGUGAGUUAAAGCUGAGAGCAUGUGCCACGUGCUCCAGCCCUAACUCUUGUCAUUUAUUAUAUUGGACAAAUUACUUAUUUAUGCCUCAGUUUUGAUGUUAGAAGUGGAGGUAAUAAUAGGACUUUCUUCCUAGGAGUUCAUGAAAAUUUAAUAGUUAAUAUGUCCAGAGUGCAUAGAACAUGGUCUAUCACAUACUAAUGACAUCAUUAAAUGGGACAGGAUGGAGCCUUAUUUAUUUAUUUAUUUAAUUUGUGAGACAAGGUCUCACUCUGUUGCCCACGCUGGAGUACAGUGGCACAGUCUUGGCUCACUGCAGCCUCGACCUUCCCCAGGCUCAAGUGAUCCUCCCACCUCAGCCUCCUGAGUAGCUGGGACUACAGGCAAGCACCACCAUGCCUGGCUAAUUUUUGUACUUUUUGUAAACACAGGGUUUUGCCAUGUUGUCCAGGCUGGUCUCAAGCUCCUGGGCUCAAGCAAUCUGCCCACCUCGGCCUCCCAAAGUGUUGGGAUUACAGGAGUGAGCCACCACAUCUGGCCCAGGGUGGGACUUUAAACAGAAAAAGGACGUGAGCAUGGAGGUCUGGCCUGAGCAGGAGUGAACAAUGCUACAUUGAGGAGAGAACAUUAAAGGAGACCCAGCUCUUGGAGUGAGGCCUUAAGCUUCGGGAGUUGAAACAAUGACCUCCCAUUAAAACCCUUGGAGUCACAGGGAGAAACAGAUUUCUAGAAUUGGACCUAAAUCUGUUCAUUCUUAUUUUUCCUAUUUUUGGCUACCUGAAGAAACCAACAAUAUUUGUUCCCUGGGUAUUUUGAAGUUCACCAUAAAUAAUACCACUCGGUUUAGAAAACUGUGUAUUCAGUUCCUCAGAGAAUGGAUUAUCUAAUUACGUGUCUGUGUUUACAUGGAACAGGUAGUCCAAUCCACGAAAGUGUGAGAACCAUGAGCCUAGUCUCGACCUCAGGAGUUGCCUGAGGAAACUGAUGCUAAAAAUCCAAGUUGCAAAUCAAAAUAUUAGAAAAAUCAAGCCAUGCUCUAGACUUGGAAGCCCGACACUUAGAUCAUCUCUCUCUGAGCAGAGCCAGCUGUUGGCCCCCAUAGGUGAGUGUCAGUGACAUUCUGACACAGGAAAGGUCAACAGGUGCCCCAGGACCACAUCCACCUGGUUAGAAGCUCUGCUGGGUUUGGUCUGGGAGAGACCCGCUGCCUCAAGAGAAUUUGCUACAGGGAAAGCCCCCUGGGUAACCAUGAAGAUGUGAUAUGUUAUGUCAGCAUGAAGAUAGACGAUAUUGUAGAAGACCUUAUGGGGUUUGUAAUGGGGAAAGUGGGCAGGGGAGGUGGGAAUAAAUAUUGCAACAAAGUAUCUUUUCUCUCUUGUGUGUGUGGAAAUGUGCUCUUUGGGGCAUUAAAAUCCUACCAGUGUACCCCCAUGCCCUUCCAAGAUGAGCUCAGGGAGAUGUAUUUUUGUGUUGCAGUCAACAGGCUGAUAAUCAUCAUCAUGGAUCAUGUACUUAAGGCUGAAAAACAGCAGCCUUCUCUAUCCCAUCAUAGAAAGGGCAUUUUGAACCACAAAGGCUAUGUCCCUGGUAAUAAACAUCAGAAAUAACCAUUUGAAUAAAUUACAUGUGUGUAGCAUGUGAUUUUAUAGAAUGCUUCCACAUGUGUUACUAUCUCAUUUAAUUCCAUAUUUGUACAAAUAUGUUAUACACUUGGGUAAUUCUCUGAAUUCUCUGCAUUUCACGCAUUUGGAGUAGUGGCAGGGAUGUAGUGGCACUCAGAUGACAUCAGGGCCUGUUUGCUUUAUGGCAGUAAUGAGCAUUUGUAGGGCAUUUCACAGUUUAUGUAGAGCUUAAAUACAUUUAUUAGACCUCAUUUGAUCCUCACAGUAACUUUAUGAGGUAAGAUGGAUAUUGUUCCUAUCAUAGACUUUAAUGCAUAAUAUUAACUGUCUUUGCUUCUCUGCAUCUAACUCUAGACUGCAAGUUCCACAAGGAUUAUAGCUUUUCGAUAUAUUUUUCACUGUUUCAUCACAGUGCUCAGUAACUCUUUGUUUAAUUGACUUUGAUAGUAUUAUAAUUGCCCCCAUAUUUGUGAUCAAUGAAGAAACUGAGGCUUUCAGAAGGAUUUAUCUUGCCCAAGGUCACACAACUGGGAGUGAAAGCCCUUGAAUUCACAUCUUGUCACUGUCACUGCCUGUCCAAAUGGUCACAAAUUGAGGCUAUCUGGCUGGUAAGAAGUCCCUUUAUCCUGCUAUAAUUUUCUUGGUGGCUCUGUGUCAUUAUGCUGAACUCAGUUUCCCCUCAAGCAGGUGAAACUGCAGAUGGCAUAGGGCACAUAGCUGCAGACCUUGCUCAGACUGGACUCUGAAAGAUUUGGAACCUUAGGCAGAGAGGUGGAAAGGAGUUGGGGAGGCAGUGGCAAUGAUUUGAAAACUAUAACCAAUUUUCUCUCUCCUAGGAGUUGGAGACUUGGAAUCCCCUUUGGUGCAGAAACUAUUCCUUCAUGAGAAGAAGUCCUUAAAUAGGCUCUUUAGGUAAGAGAUAUAAGAGAUAUAAAGCAAAUGCCCUGUAGGAAAAAACUGUGAAGGAAUCCAAAUGUAGGUAUUUUGGCUCAGAAACAUGUUUCUGUUUUGUAAUACACGUUAUUAUGUGCAUAGCUCCUUGAUGGAGAGCAAUUUAUUUUUCUCCUGGCAGGGACUGGUGAAAUAUAUAAAUGAAAAUACUACUCUUGUUUCUUGGCAUGGAGAGGACUAUAUUUGCCAACCUCCCUGCCAUUUGGCCUAAGGGAUGUAGGCAGACAUGGUGGGCAACUCCUUAUUAAAGAUCCGGUCAUAAUCAUCUCUGCCGUCUCUUCUUUUUCUUGAAAAGACAGGAGGCCACAUGUUGAAGGCAGCAGGGUCACAAGAUGGAAGAACCAGGGUCCCAGUAUCAUCGCUCCCUGCUUCAAGCUGCCAGGGGCAGCCUAACCCACAUGGCAUUAUGACAUAAGAAACAAAGUAACUAUUGUUUUAUUAAAUCAAUGAGAUAUUGGGCUUCUUGUUAUAGCAACUAGUAUAAAUUGCCCUGACUGAUACAUUAUGGAUUUAGAGUGCACUGUACUACAACUGUUUGUUGUAUUUUCAAAAUUGUGGUAUAACUGACUUACAAUAAACUUCAUAUAUUUA